UGUGGUCAUUUAAAUUUUUUAAAUCAUAUAAUUAUUCUAAUAUAGUUGUGUAUGUCCAAAUAUACAACUUAUUGUUGUUCAGACCCAUUUUGACCUAACCCAUUACAACCCAUAACCCAAACAAAAACAAAACCUACCCAGGCCCAACUAAGCCUAACCCACCAAAACCAAAGCCCAAAUCAGCAACCCAAUUCAGCCCAAUCUACCUAACCCUAGCCAAUUUGCAGAAAAAAAAAACAGCAGCCACCCUAGGUGCGCCGCACCUAGGGCCUUCGUCCACCUACCCCCUGCCACCGCCUCUGACCAGCGCUGCACCUGCUUUCUGCCAUUGCCCAACUGCACCUUCAAGAAGAGAAACCAACACGCAACAACAAACAGUAGACAUAGAUAAAAAAAAUGUUAAAAAUCGACUAUAAAAGCCGAAACCAAAGGAAUGUAAGGGGGUCGGCCCCUCUUUGACGAUUAAAAGAAAUAAAAGUGUUUUGAAAAUCUUAAAGGUGACUACUACCCUUUUUAGAUCUGUUUUUUUGUUCUUUUAAAUAUCAUUUUUGUUUUUAAAUACAAACAAAUUAAAAAUAAGAAUAAAGGAGAAGGCUUUUUACCUUACCUGCGCCGCGCCGGAGGUGGAGGAAGGCGAACGGUUUCGCCCUUUUUUCGGGUCUUCGGCCCUUGUUUCACGAGAUCCGGCCCCAGAUCCGUGCCUAGGAGACACUCGGCUUCGAACUAGGAUAAAAAAGAUCCGAUUUUGAGCCGUUGGCCACCGCACACGGCGGUGCUACGCCGGAGGCCGAGCCGGACGUUAGGCCAGAUUUGAGAGAGGGGAGGGAGCCUUCUCUGUUUGUUUUAAAAAAAAAGAAAAGGAAAAAAAUGAAAAAAGAAAAAGAAAAAA
rnacentral:lncRNA from 1 species